UACGUAGGGGGCAAGCGUUGUUCGGAAUUACUGGGUGUAAAGGGUUCGUAGGCGGUGCGGCAAGUUGGGAGUGAAAUCUCUGGGCUCAACCCAGAGGCUGCUUCCAAAACUGCUGUGCUUGAGUGUGAGAGAGGCUCGUGGAAUUGCAGGUGUAGCGGUGAAAUGCGUAGAUAUCUGCAGGAACACCCGUGGCGAAAGCGGCGAGCUGGAUCACUACUGACGCUGAAGAACGAAAGCUAGGGGAGCAAACAGG
rnacentral:rRNA from 1 species